GACUCAAUGCCCAAUACUGUGAACCCAAUCAAGAACCUUCUACUGUAUUAGAGGAAUACAGCGCUCGAUUGUUGAGGCUUAUAACACCAGUUCACUCGUAUUGUUUUAUUUCUCUCGUAUUUAUACCACCAUCAUUUAACUAUGAUUUUCCCUUUUACCCUUUAAUACAUAUCCCCACAGAUGUGUAAUCCGGUCAAACACUUUUCACUGUCGGAUUCUCAGUCCUUUUUCAAGUCCUGAUACGCACAGCUUCCAGGUUCGGUAAAACACCAGGAGUUACACCAACCACCCACACAUUUCCCAGUAUGAAAAACAACAAAUCUUUCCCUGUGUCCUUAUUUCUUCAUCUAAUAUUCUAACCUGCCAGUCCAAGAAUCACACGAGUAGGACUGCAGGACCAGAGGUAUCUACGUACCACACGGAUUGCAACUUGGAUUUCUACAGACUAAGAGUCGACCUCAGGGAACUCAAGUGAGCCCCGUCAUUCCUUUUUAAACUCUUCAU
ensembl:lncRNA